rnacentral:snoRNA from 1 species
UAUGAGCCUAAAGGCGUCGCAGGGGUGGCUGCUGUGCCACGUUUCCUCUCUGGUGGCAGAGAGGUGGCAGAGAGGAAAGAGGCUAAGUCUAUGCUCAGUGUUCUGACCUGUGCACCUCUGAAGGAUCAGUAGCCUAAAACU